rnacentral:rRNA from 1 species
UACGUAGGGGGCAAGCGUUGUCCGGAUUUACUGGGCGUAAAGAGCGUGUAGGCGGCCACGCAGGUCCGUUGUGAAAACUGGAGGCUCAACCUCCAGCUGUCGACGGAAACCGUAUGGCUAGAGUCCGGAAGAGGAGAGUGGAAUUCCUGGUGUAGCGGUGAAAUGCGCAGAUAUCAGGAAGAACACCAAUGGCGAAGGCAGCUCGCUGGGACGUUACUGACGCUGAGACGCGAAAGCGUGGGGAGCAAACAGG